UACGUAGGGGGCAAGCGUUGUCCGGAAUCAUUGGGCGUAAAGAGCGUGUAGGCGGCCCGGUAAGUCCGCUGUGAAAGUCCAGGGCUCAACCCUGGGAUGCCGGUGGAUACUGUCGGGCUCGAGUCCGGAAGAGGAGUGUGGAAUUCCUGGUGUAGCGGUGAAAUGCGCAGAUAUCAGGAAGAACACCUAUGGCGAAGGCAGCUCUCUGGGACGGUACUGACGCUGAGACGCGAAAGCGUGGGGAGCGAACAGG
rnacentral:rRNA from 1 species